GGGGCUGUAGCUUAGUGGUAGAGCACUUGCCUAGCAUGUGUGACACACUGGGUUCGAUUCUCAGCACCA
rnacentral:tRNA from 1 species